rnacentral:rRNA from 1 species
AGUGAACGCUGGCGGUAGGCCUAACACAUGCAAGUCGAACGGCAGCACAGUAAGAGCUUGCUCUUACGGGUGGCGAGUGGCGGACGGGUGAGGAAUACAUCGGAAUCUACUUUUUCGUGGGGGAUAACGUAGGGACACUUACGCUAAUACCGCAUACGACCUACGGGUGAAGGCAGGGGAUCUUCGGACCUUGCGCGAUAGAAUGAGCCGAUGCCGGAUUAGCUAGUUGGCGGGGUAAAGGCCCACCAAGGCGACGAUCCGUAGCUGGUCUGAGAGGAUGAUCAGCCACACUGGAACUGAGACACGGUCCAGACUCCUACGGGAGGCAGCAGUGGGGAAUAUUGCGCAAUGGGCGAAAGCCUGACCCAGCAAUGCCGCGUGAGUGAAGAAGGCCUUCGGAUUGUAAAGCCCUUUUGUUAGGGAAGAAAAGCAGCAGGUGAAUACCCCGCUGUUCUGACGGUACCCAAAGAAUAAGCACCGGCUAACUUCGUG